rnacentral:misc_RNA from 1 species
CAAUGAGUGUUUAAUGGCACUUUAAAUCCAUUACCCACCUUGUGUGCACUGUAAGGAGGGGGACAGAACCAAGUUUUGGGACUGUCCACUUUCAUUAUACAUACACUAUCUUCAUUCUCGUCUACAUCAAUUGAGUAUAAAACUCUAAUA